rnacentral:lncRNA from 1 species
CAGAUGGAGUACUCUACUUUGUAAUCAAUGGUGUGCCCAUUAAAAUGAUGUAGAGGCCCGGAUUCUAAGUUCAAGCCUCCUUUUUUUGGAAAAAUUAUCUUGCCCUAAUUCUGUGAAUACAUUGUCCUCUUCACGUUUUGAUAUGAUUUUGAGUUUAAAACUGCGCCAUUAUUUCUUGCAUCCACAACGAUCACAGUUUUAGGCGUCUAAUCAGCAGGA